CAUAUUCCCUAUGCGUUAACACAUGAACUCUUUAUAAGAAUUCAGAGAUUCUCAUCAAGGCCGAGCCAUACUAAACAAUUAGAUGAAUUUCCUUUGUGUCUUUCCAACUUCAUUAUAAGCACUCCUCUUCUACCACAUGAAUUUCCCUUUUCUCCUUCCAAUCGGGUGUCAAAAGGCAAAGUGAGGCAUAUUAAAAAUUGAAAAGUUUAUUGGAGCAAAAUUCAAUUAGAAUUGGGCAGCCUCCAAUGUAACAGAGAAAAAGAAGUUCUGAGGAGCUGGGGGAAAAAAAAAAAAAAAAGACUUUUGUAGGAGGCAGAGGAGAGAGCAGAAACAAGGAAGUUAUUCCAGGCAAAAAAAAAAAAAAAACAAAAAACAAAAAACAGUUGAUUAUUGCAAGAUUACUUUCCGUGAGGGGAGAGCAGGGGUCUAUCCGGCGGAUUAUUUAACUAGUGCUGGUCAGGAGAUUCCUGACUGGUUUAAGAUUCCACUUCUGGGAGAACAAACCUAUAAUUAAGUCUUUAUUUGGUGACGUGAAGCUUAGCAUAAGUGACUCUGUUUGGGGCCUGUUGCCUUGUUGUUUAACGCAGGUUAGCCCUUAGGAGGGACCCUUGUAUAGGUUUUUUCCUCACUCGCAUGCUCCAGGGCAUAUGUGAUGCACGCUAUCUCUUGGUUACACUGCACUUCUCUUUGCAGACUCCACCCAGGAAUGAAGAAAUUUUUUCAGGCGACAGGCUAACAGUUGCCACCCUUCCAAAAAAAAAUUUCUAUUUUAGUAGGAGUGUUUUACCAUCAUUCCAAGGCCCACCACUCAUACGCUUUGGGACUCUACCACAGGGAGACUUCAGGCUGGAAGUUGGACUUGUCUGGGACGUGUUUUCUCCCCCCUUUUUUGUGUGUGGGGGGCACAUUUACAACACUGAAGGAUGACGUGGGAGGACCAGGAUCGAGGCUUUAAAAUGAAUAAAUAUGAAGAAACUCAGAAUGAAUGAAGCUAAAUAUCUUGCCUCAUGGUAAGUGUAGAUCCUUUUUACACUUCAUUCAUCAAACUAUGCAGCAUUUCCAGGGAACACUGUUGCAGUUUUCCUGUAGGCUAAGAAGAUCUCUUCCAAUCUACACAAAGCUACUUGAGUCCAUAAAAAGUUACUUUUGCCAAAGCUACUGUCAGUUUACCAGAAGCAGUGGUAGACUUCUAUUAACAUUUAGUUCGUUAAACUACCCAUAAAAUACCUCCUCUAAUUUUGUUCAUACCUUUGUUUCAUUUCAUUAUUUUAUUAAUAACAUAGAAUAACAAAAUAAAAUAAACAAAAAUUACCCA
rnacentral:lncRNA from 1 species